rnacentral:lncRNA from 1 species
CUAAAUAUUUGAAGAAAUAUAACAAAACAUCUGUUUUUUUUUUCGAUUUUUAAGGAUGUGAAUUUAAGCAUGGAUGCAAUUUGGGUACUCAUCAUUUCAGAAUCAUGGAUCGUUUGGGGGUCGGUUCAAACUCAUUUUCCUAUGAUUCAAUAUGCAUUCAAAAUUUAAUUGGUGGGACUAUUAUAUAGUAAAUACGGAUACAUCUACAAAAUAAAUACAAAAUGGAAACUUUUGAUUUGAUCAUAAAUAAACGUAUGUGAAAAACCCGUUAAAAUAGGUGCAAUUUGGGUACCCUCAUGUUACAUGCGUAGUAAUAUUUUGGUGAAAGAUGUUCAUAUUCUCGACCUACGAGAAAAUAAAUGUGGGUAUACAUUGUACAACAAUGAGACAACAACCCAAAAACAAAGAUAAUCGAAAUACAUCUAGACGGCAGUAUACAGACUCAAACAAAAGAAAGAAAAAAACGUAGAUCUACGGCCAAUCGUUGAAAAGUAUUAUGAUUUGGUCUUAUAAUUUUCCGUUGAACAAUUUUUUUAGUUUUAUGUUUAACCCAUCCUUUAAUAAAGAUGUGAAUUCACUGCAACAAAAGUCCAUAAAAAGGACGUCGAUUAGAGAAGUCAAAAAUUAGAAGCCUCGAUUUGAGUUGUGAGGUACAUAAAAUUGGCCAACUCGAAUAAUUCAAGCCCUUACCGUCUCCGAUUCUCUCCACCUUUCGAGGGUUAAUGUAGUGAUAGGGAUCGUAAUAUAACGACUGGAUUAUUCGGGUUAAAAAUUGGCCGUCGAUUUGGAAUGUUAUUUUAUUGUGAUGUCAGAUUUGGACGUCGAUUUGAGGAACGGACGUCGAUUAGAGACCGGACGUCGAUCUGAGUCUUACAUAUAUAUAUAUAUAA